CAAACCAAAGCUGGCGACCGACGCACGGGUGAGUAACACGUAUCCAACCUGCCUCAUACUCGGGGAUAGCCUUUCGAAAGAAAGAUUAAUAUCCGAUAGCAUAUAUUUCCCGCAUGGGUUUUAUAUUAAAGAAAUUCGGUAUGAGAUGGGGAUGCGUUCCAUUAGUUUGUUGGGGGGUAACGGCCCACCAAGACUACGAUGGAUAGGGGUUCUGAGAGGAAGGUCCCCCACAUUGGAACUGAGACACGGUCCAA
rnacentral:rRNA from 1 species